rnacentral:rRNA from 1 species
GACGAACGCUGGCGGCGUGCUUAACACAUGCAAGUCGAACGGAGAGGCCCUGCUUUUGUGGGGUGCUCGAGUGGCGAACGGGUGAGUAACACGUGAGUAACCUGCCCUUGACUUUGGGAUAACUUCAGGAAACUGGGGCUAAUACCGGAUAGGACCUCCUGCUGCAUGGUGGGGGUUGGAAAGUUUCGGCGGUUGGGGAUGGACUCGCGGCUUAUCAGCUUGUUGGUGGGGUAGUGGCUUACCAAGGCUUUGACGGGUAGCCGGCCUGAGAGGGUGACCGGCCACAUUGGGACUGAGAUACGGCCCAGACUCCUACGGGAGGCAGCAGUGGGGAAUAUUGCACAAUGGGCGGAAGCCUGAUGCAGCAACGCCGCGUGCGGGAUGACGGCCUUCGGGUUGUAAACCGCUUUCGCCUGUGACGAAGCGUGAGUGACGGUAAUGGGUAAAGAAGCACCGGCUAACUACGUG